GUGGGGAAUAUUCCGCAAUGGACGAAAGUCUGACGGAGCAACGCCGCGUGAGUGAUGAAGGUUUUCGGACUGUAAAGCUCUGUUGUUUGGGACGAAAGUGCCUGUUGCGAACAGUUACGGGUAUUGACGGUACUAAACGAGGAAGCCACGGCUAACUACGUGCCAGCAGCCGCGGUAAUACGUAGGUGGCAAGCGUUGUCCGGAAUUAUUGGGCGUAAAGAGUAUGUAGGCGGGAAUCUAAGUCUGUUGUUAAAAUGCGGGGCUCAACCCCGUAUUGCGAUGGAAACUGGGGUACUUGAGUGCAGGAGAGGAAAGGGGAAUUCCCAGUGUAGCGGUGAAAUGCGUAGAUAUUGGGAGGAACACCAGUGGCGAAGGCGCCUUUCUGGACUGUGUCUGACGCUGAGAUGCGAAAGCCAGGGUAGCGAACGGGAUUAGAAACCCCUGUAGUCC
rnacentral:rRNA from 1 species